AAGGGAGAACAGAAAAUAGUAAGUACUGCUAAUCCUUAUCCUCCACGGUUAAAAUCCGAGGCUUCCUUG
rnacentral:tRNA from 1 species